GUGAGCCCCUGAUGCUCAUGCGUCCUUUGGUUUGCGCUCUACUCGCUCGUAGCAGUCGGAAUGUGCCCGGCCGGGGCAGCCGUCCGCCGUGCCCGUGGCCACGGGGGCUAGGAUAGGGGAAAGUGGGUGCAAAGGGUGUCUAUGGGUGCGCGGGAGGUUGGGGAAGCAAGCACGUCUCACUGCGGAGGCCGAGAGCUCGCCGAUGGCGUGAUUGAGCUCGCCGAAGCCGCGGCGCAACGUAGAAGACGGAGCAGACGGGCGGGACCCGCCCGUCAGUGACCGCGUGAGGGGGACAGUGCGCGCGCAGCGCCCGCGUGGGCCGAGUGGGAGCGGGCCGGCCUGCGGGCCGAUUUCCCGGCCGCUCGCUGCGCAAUGGUUUUUUUUUUCUUUUUCUUUUUGUGCAGUUUUUGCUUUAUGUUUGAUUUUCUAUAAUAAGCUAUGUACUGAUCAAAAAAUUAGGAAAAUUUUUGUAUAGCUUCCAUAAAAUGGAUAGAGCAUAGGAAAAAUACUGGGUACUAUUUUCUGGUAGUUUGCAUGUCUAUAAAAAUUGGCUCUUUUAAUUAGUAGAUAAAACUUCUAGGAAUUUUAAUAAUUUAUUAAUAUGUCCAAAAAUCACCAAAAUUUGUGCGGAGUCUCUGAAUGUUGUUCCCUGGCUCCACACAAAAUUUGGUGGCA
rnacentral:lncRNA from 1 species